UACGUAGGGUGCGAGCGUUAAUCGGAAUUACUGGGCGUAAAGCGCACGCAGGCGGUUGGUUAAGUCAGAUGUGAAAGCCCCGGGCUCAACCUGGGAAUUGCAUUUGAAACUGGGAAACUAGAGUGUGUGAGAGGGGGGUAGAAUUCCAAGUGUAGCGGUGAAAUGCGUAGAGAUUUGGAGGAAUACCAGUGGCGAAGGCGGCCCCCUGGCACAACACUGACGCUCAGGUGCGAAAGCGUGGGGAGCAAACAGG
rnacentral:rRNA from 1 species